AUUGAACGCUGGCGGCAGGCCUAACACAUGCAAGUCGAACGAGUGGCGGACGGGUGAGUAAUGUCUGGGAAACUGCCCGAUGGAGGGGGAUAACGACUGGAAACGGUAGCUAAUACCGCAUACUAGCAGAUGUGCCCAAAUGGGAUUAGCUUGUGGGUGGGGUAACGGCUCACCAAGGCGACGAUCCCUAGCUGGUCUGAGAGGAUGACCAGCCACACUGGAACGGAGACACGGUCCAGACUCCUACGGAGGGCAGCAGUGGGGAAUAUUGCACAAUGGGCGCAAGCCUGAUGCCGCCAGGCCGCGUGUAUGAAGAAGGCCUUCGGGUUGUAAAGUACUUUCAGCGGGGAGGCGUUACCCGCAGAAGAAGCACCGGCUAACUCCGUGCCAGCAGCCGCGGUAAUUC
rnacentral:rRNA from 1 species